rnacentral:rRNA from 1 species
ACAGAGGUCCCAAGCGUUGUUCGGAUUCACUGGGCGUAAAGAGUGCGUAGGUGGCUACUUUAAGUUUGAUGUGAAAGCUCCGGGCUCAACCCGGAAAUGGCAUUGAAGACUAUUGAGCUAGAGGUUUGGAGGGGGGACUGGAAUACUUGGUGUAGCAGUGAAAUGCGUAGAUAUCAAGUGGAACACCAGUGGCGAAGGCGAGUCCCUGGACAACACCUGACACUGAGGCACGAAAGCUAGGGGAGCAAACAGGA